rnacentral:rRNA from 1 species
AGCGAACGCUGGCGGCAGGCCUAACACAUGCAAGUCGAACGAACUCUUCGGAGUUAGUGGCGGACGGGUGAGUAACACGUGGGAACGUGCCUUUUGGUUCGGAAUAACUCAGGGAAACUUGUGCUAAUACCGAAUGUGCCCUUCGGGGGAAAGAUUUAUCGCCAUUAGAGCGGCCCGCGUCUGAUUAGCUAGUUGGUGAGGUAACGGCUCACCAAGGCGACGAUCAGUAGCUGGUCUGAGAGGAUGACCAGCCACACUGGGACUGAGACACGGCCCAGACUGCUACGGGAGGCAGCAGUGGGGAAUCUUGCGCAAUGGGCGAAAGCCUGACGCAGCCAUGGCGCGUGAAUGAUGAAGGUCUUAGGAUAGUAAAAUUCUUUCACCGGGGACGAUAAUGACGGUACCCGGAGAAGAAGCCCCGGCUAACUACGUG